rnacentral:rRNA from 1 species
GAGGAGCCCGCGGCCUAUCAGCUUGUUGGUGAGGUAACGGCUCACCAAGGCGUUGACGGGUAGCUGGUCUGAGAGGACGACCAGUCACACUGGAACUGAGACACGGUCCAGACACCUACGGGUGGCAGCAGUCGAGAAUUUUUCUCAAUGGGGGAAACCCUGAAGGAGCGACGCCGCGUGGAGGAUGAAGGUCUUCGGGUUGUAAACUCCUGUCAUUUGGGAACAAUGCUUACGUAGUAACUAUACGUGAGUUGAUAGUACCAGAAGAGGAAGAGACGGCUAACUCUGUGCCAGCAGCCGCGGUAAUACAGAGGUCUCAAGCGUUGUUCGGAUUCAUUGGGCGUAAAGGGUGUGUAGGUGGCGCGCUAAGUCGGGUGUGAAAUUUCGGAGCUUAACUCCGAAACUGCAUUCGAUACUGGCGUGCUUGAGGACUGGAGAGGAGACUGGAAUUCAUGAUGUAGCAGUGAAAUGCGUAGAGAUCAUGAGG